CACAAUAUCUUUCAUUUGCUCCAUUGAAUCUUAGGAAACUGUGAAGCCUGGCAGGUAUCUUCUGUGUCACUGAGCCCAGCAUCCAGCUGGGAAGCAGACCAUAUCUUUUCCUGAAAGACCUGCGAAACAUCCUGUCGGAGCAUGUGGCCAGCACAAGGAGCCUAGGCACUGACUUCUACAGCUGCAGAGUUUUAAUUGACCCCUUCAUUUGAAGGCUUUUCCAACUCGAAGUACAUUUUGUUGUCUAUGAGCUGAGUGCCAUCAGCAGGAUGAUUUGCUGAUGUGUGUUGUACCCAGAUCAGAGUGAGAAGUGAUGAACUGCACCUUGCAGUUUGUAACCUGCUAAAGCCAAAGCAAACCCCAAGUGUCCUCUUCCUCCAAGGAGUUCCACAGGGCAGAGGAGCCCCAAAAGAGGAGCAUUUGACUGGUGCAUGGUGGAGAAAGAGUGUACAUGUCUGUGCCUACUCACUCCAGGUACAGGUAGCUAUCACCCUAAAUGGGGGCAGUGUCUUCCAGUUUAGCGUGCCAAAGUUAGAAAGCUGGUGAGAAUAGAAAACUAUAUUCAAGGAUCUUAUUCAAAGCAGUAAGAAUUUAUGGUGAAUUGAGAAACAAUAUAAGACAUUUAAGAGUUUUUCUUGUAUUUUGAAGAACUGACAAAGUUUUCAGUUACAUGCUAUAAAUAUAUAUAUUAUAUAUAUGUAGACUUUUCCUAAGAACUGAACUAACAGAGGCUUUUAGCAAAGCUACUGAGACUAGCUGUAUUAACUAACUCUGUCACGGAAAGGCAAACAGCAGACAACCACGUGGAAGGAACAACAAGGAUUAGGUAUAAGGAGGAGUUAAAAAAGUGGGGCACAGCUAAUGGGUCAAGUGGAGCAGCGUAAUGGGAAGCAGAAGAGCAAGGAAUAAUAAGACAGGGCUGGACAAACUAGGAGUAUCUAGCAGAGUGAUGAAUGUAUAGUAUGACAGGCUGAAGGAAACAAGUUGCACUAACAUUCAGCAGCUGCUUAAAUUGCACUUUGCUGUCCAGCAGGACUUAAUUUGAAACUGAGAUAAGUAUUUCUUUAAGGAAGGGAAAGAAACUAGCUAGUCUAAACAGUUGUUUCACUAGAAGAAAGGGCUGCAAAACAGUUAUACUCUCUAUACUUCUGUUAGGAACUAGAUAUUGCAUGUUACCACAUUUUUCUACCUUGUUAGCAUACUCUUCUCUUAACAAAAAAAUAUGUUCUGUUAAGUAAAAAAAAAUAAAUUAAAAAAAAUCAUAUUUGUGAGCA
rnacentral:lncRNA from 1 species